UUAUAAGCCGGAUCACCACUGCUAGGUCUCAUUUUGUUCGUUUCGUUUGCGACAGACAGCUACAUUCAAAAAAUAAAAUAUGAAAUCGAUAAUCCCACUGUGUCUACUUGCCCUGUCUGUGGCCCAGGACACCCAGGAUGAAGAGGGUGAACAUCUUCCGUACACAGUAAAAUAACGCUCAAUAACAACUUUAUUUACAAAAAUAGGUAAGGAGGGUGAAUGUUCAAGAUCCCUCAUUUAAAAAUAUUCUCCACAAACUCAAAGCAUUUUAGUAAAUCUAUCUAUGACACCCGAUAUUUUGAGCGUUGUCUUAUUGUGAACAGUGUUAUGUGUACGAAUUAAAUGCCACGAUUGAUUAUCAUCGCGACGCUGACUUAAAAAACAGUACCUCCCACCAUUUCAUCUUUAGCGAAAAGGGCACCAUUUAUGAAGCUGAUGGCUAUAUCAUAAACGAAGACAGCGACGCUGAAUACCUGAAAGUAUUUGGUUUAGGCUCUAUCUGGACUACAAUAAAAAUUUCAUCAAUCUUUGAGGAUUAUUACCGCCAGUAUAUUAAAGAUCAGAAGGGAUAUACACCUCAUCUCGAAAGGGAAUGCUCAACAAAUUGAAUGCUCAUUGAUAUGAGUAUAAGACCACACAAAACUGAUGUCUUGUUCAAAGGCUUGUUGGCGGAAAAUAUAUGCAAAUUGUUUUUUUAAUUAAAUACACAUACUAUU